UUUAGAUGUUAAUUGUUUAAACUUGAGUAGUAGUAGUUAAGAUCUUGAAACUUAAAGAAUUUGGCGGUAUUUUAGUCUAUUUAGAGGAAUCUGUUCCGUAAUCGAUAUUCCGCGUUGGACCUUACUUAAUUUAUUUAUAUGUAUACCGCCGUUGUUGAAAAUCUUUUUAGAGUAUAGAAUUUUUAUAAUAUUUUUAAAUAGUUUUUCAGGUCAAGGUGCAGUUUAUAAUUAAGUGGAAAUGGAUUACAAUAUUUAUUAAUAUACGGAUUAUUAAUUGAAAUUUUUAUAUAAAGGUGGAUUUAAUAGUAAUACUAUAUAGAUUGUUAGUAUGAUUAUAGCUCUAAAAUAUGU
rnacentral:rRNA from 1 species